UGAGGAAUAUUGGUCAAUGGACGAGAGUCUGAACCAGCCAAGUAGCGUGAAGGAUGACAGCCCUAUGGGUUUUAAACUUCUUUUAUAAGGGAAUAAAGUUUAGUACGUGUACUAUUUUGUAUGUACCUUAUGAAUAAGCAUCGGCUAAUUCCGUGCCAGCAGCCGCGGUAAUACGGAAGAUGCGAGCGUUAUCCGGAUUUAUUGGGUUUAAAGGGAGCGUAGGCGGGCGAAUAAGUCAGCGGUCAAAUGUCGGGGCUCAACCUCGGCCUGCCGUUGAUACUGUUUGCCUUGAGUGUGCACAAGGUAGGUGGAAUUUGUGGUGUAGCGGUGAAAUGCUUAGAUAUCACGAAGAACUCCGAUUGCGAAGGCAGCUUACUGGGGCAUUACUGACGCUGAGGCUCGAAAGUGCGGGUAUCAAACAGG
rnacentral:rRNA from 2 species